AACGAACGCUGGCGGCAGGCUUAACACAUGCAAGUCGAACGCCCCGCUAGGGGAGUGGCAGACGGGUGAGUAACGCGUGGGAACAUACCCUUUUCUACGGAAUAGCUCUGGGAAACUGGAAUUAAUACCGUAUACGCCCUACGGGGGAAAGAUUUAUCGGGGAAGGAUUGGCCCGCGUUGGAUUAGCUAGUUGGUGGGGUAAAGGCCUACCAAGGCGACGAUCCAUAGCUGGUCUGAGAGGAUGAUCAGCCACAUUGGGACUGAGACACGGCCCAAACUCCUACGGGAGGCAGCAGUGGGGAAUAUUGGACAAUGGGCGCAAGCCUGAUCCAGCCAUGCCGCGUGAGUGAUGAAGGCCUUAGGGUUGUAAAGCUCUUUCACCGAUGAAGAUAAUGACGGUAGUCGGAGAAGAAGCCCCGGCUAACUUCGUG
rnacentral:rRNA from 1 species